rnacentral:misc_RNA from 1 species
CCGAGUUUACAGCUCCCAACCCUAUGUGAACCUUACCAUUCUGUUGCUUCGGCGGGAUCGUCCCGGGCGCGGUCGAGAGGCCAGACCCGGAGCAAGGCCCCCGCCGGGGACCCAAACUCUUGUGAUUUUCUCCCGGCUUUCUUCUGAGUGGCUUGCAAAGCAAAAUAAUGAAUCA